rnacentral:rRNA from 1 species
UGGGGAAUAUUGCACAAUGGGCGGAAGCCUGAUGCAGCGACGCCGCGUGAGGGAUGACGGCCUUCGGGUUGUAAACCUCUUUCAGCAGGGACGAAGCGUAAGUGACGGUACCUGCAGAAGAAGCGCCGGCCAACUACGUGCCAGCAGCCGCGGUAAUACGGGGGGGGCAAGCGUUGUUCGGAAUUACUGGGCGUAAAGGGCUCGUAGGCGGCCAACUAAGUCGGAUGUGAAAUCCCCAGGCUCAACCUGGGAACUGCAUCCGAUACUGGACGGCUUGAAUUCGGGAGAGGGAUGCAGAAUUCCAGGUGUAGCGGUGAAAUGCGUAGAUAUCUGGAGGAAUACCGGUGGCGAAGGCGGCAUCCUGGACCGACAUUGACGCUGAGGAGCGAAAGCUAGGGGAGCAAA